rnacentral:rRNA from 1 species
AGUGGAAUUCCGAGUGUAGAGGUGAAAUUCGUGGAUAUUCGGCGGAACUGCAGUGGCGAAGUCGGCUCACUGGUUCGAUACUGACGCUGAGGUGCGAAAGUGUGGGGAGCUAACAGGAUUAGAUAUCCUGGUAGUUCACACCGUAAACGAUGAAUGCCAGACGUCGGAAAGCUUGCUUUUCGGUGUCACACGUAACGGAUUAUGCAUUUCGAGUGGGGAGUACAGUCGCAAGAUUAAAACUCAUAGGAAUUGACGGGGGCCCGCUCAAGCGGUUGAGCAUGUAGUUUAAUUCGAAGCAACGCGCAGAACCUUACCAACCCUUGACAUAGUGAUCGUGGUUUCUCGAGAGAGAUUCCUUCAAUUCGGCUGGAUCUGUGACAGGUGUUGCAUGAGAGGCGUCAGCUCGUGUCGUGAGAUGUUCGGUUAAUGUCGGGCAACGAGCGCUAUCCACAUCACUUAGUUGCCAGCAGUUCGGCUGGGCACUCUAGGGAAACUGCGCGAUGAUAAACGGGAGGAAGGUGUCGAUGACGUCAGGGCGAUCAUGGCCCUUACGGGAGGGGCUAUCACACGUGCUGCAAUAGCAGUGACAAUGGGGUCUCCCAAAAAACUGUCUCAGUUCUGAUUGUGGUCCACAACUCGACCCCAUGAAGUCGGAA